GAUGAAGAACGUAGCGAAUUGCGAUAAGUAAUGUGAAUUGCAGAUUUUCAGUGAAUCAUCGAAUCUUUGAACGCACAUUGCGCCCCUUGGUAUUCCGAGGGGCAUGCCUGUUCGAGCGUCAUUAUCACUCCUCAAGCUCAGCUUGGUGUUGGGGCCGGCCCGUCACAGGGCCGCCCCUAAAAGCAGUGGCGGUGCCAUCUGGCUCUACGCGUAGUAAUACUCCUCGCGACAGAGUCCCGGUGGUGUCCUGCCAGAACCCCCCAUCUUUUUAAUGAUUGACCUCGGAUCAGGUAGGGAUACCCGCUGAACUUAAGCAUAUCAAUAAGCGGAGGA
rnacentral:misc_RNA from 1 species